rnacentral:rRNA from 1 species
CAGUAGCCGCGGUAACACGGAGGGGGCUAGCGUUGUUCGGAAUUACUGGGCGUAAAGCGCACGUAGGCGGCUUUGUAAGUUAGAGGUGAAAGCCUGGGGCUCAACUCCAGAAUUGCCUUUAAGACUGCAUCGCUUGAACGUCGGAGAGGUGAGUGGAAUUCCGAGUGUAGAGGUGAAAUUCGUAGAUAUUCGGAAGAACACCAGUGGCGAAGGCGGCUCACUGGCUCAUACUGGACGCUGAGGUGCGAAAGCGUGGGGAGCAAACAGGAUUAGAUACCCCCGUAGUCCCUGUCUCUUAUAC